rnacentral:rRNA from 1 species
UGCGUAGGCGGUUUGAUAAGUUAGAGGUGAAAUACCGGGGCUCAACUCCGGAACUGCCUCUAAUACUGUUGGACUAGAGAGUAGUUGCUGUGGGCGGAAUGUAUGGUGUAGCGGUGAAAUGCUUAGAGAUCAUACAGAACACCGAUUGCGAAGGCAGCUCACAAAACUAUAUCUGACGUUGAGGCACGAAAGCGUGGGGAGCAAACAGGAUUAGAUACCCCCGUA